rnacentral:lncRNA from 1 species
CACUCGAUAUCACGGUAUGUCUAAUUUGAAAUUUGUUUUCCAGGGCUGAAUUUGGACGGACUUGGUUUUGUGCCCCUGAAUCGAGAAGAAGGAUUGCCCAAUUUUAGAAGAGUGAUGGCUGUGAGACGGCAUCUAAAGGAUCGGUCUGUGCAUGAAACUCAAGGACGGCCAGCCGCUGAAACAGGCUUCAUUCAAAUUCAACAGAUCUUUCCUUUGGAGACUCUGGACAAGCUCCAGUCAAUCUGAACAAAUAACUUGGAGGCCAUAUGGAGAAAGGAUUUUCCCUUGGAAGUGUGGGCUUGUGGCUUUGCAGUGCUGGUGAUCCCUAGGUGGAGAUGGAGCAUGAAGAUCCUCCAGGGGAAUGGCUCACCACCCCUGGGCAACAGGCCUAGCCCAGGAGAUUUUAAGGAGACACUUCCUGAACCCAGCGUGGAAGAUAAAGAUAAAGACAAUCACUCUACAUAAAGACAGGAGAAAAGCUGCUGCAGCAAUGGCAGUGAUCACACGACCAAGUCAUUCUACUCUGUCUGGUUCUCCAAGUCUCCCAGGAAGCUCUGGAGGAGAACAUCGCCAGCUGUUCACAUUUUUCAGGAUGCACUGUGCUCCUACUCCACCUACCAAAUCGUUACCCCGCCCCAAAGCUGGGUCAACGGCAGAGUGA